GAAACAGGUAGCUCAGUGGUAGAGCGUCACAUUUCCGUGAAGGUUACGAGUUCGAAUCUCGUACUGUUUCU
rnacentral:tRNA from 1 species